rnacentral:rRNA from 1 species
UGGGGUAAUUUUUCCGCAAUGGGCGAAAGCCUGACGGAGCAAUGCCGCGUGGAGGUGGAAGGCCUACGGGUCGUCAACUUCUUUUCUCGGAGAAGAAACAAUGACGGUAUCUGAGGAAUAAGCAUCGGCUAACUCUGUGCCAG